GAUAGAAGAACGUAGCGAAAUGCGAUAAGUAAUGUGAAUUGCAGAAUUCAGUGAAUCAUCGAAUCUUUGAACGCACAUUGCGCCCGCCAGUAUUCUGGCGGGCAUGCCUGUUCGAGCGUCAUUACAACCCUCAGGCCCCCGGGCCUGGCGUUGGGGAUCGGCGGAAGCCCCCUGCGGGCACAACGCCGUCCCCCAAAUACAGUGGCGGUCCCGCCGCAGCUUCCAUUGCGUAGUAGCUAACACCUCGCAACUGGAGAGCGGCGCGGCCACGCCGUAAAACACCCAACUUCUGAAUGUUGACCUCGAAUCAGGUAGGAAUACCCGCUGAACUUAAGCAUAUCAAUAAGCGGAGGA
rnacentral:misc_RNA from 1 species